rnacentral:rRNA from 1 species
CCUACGGGAGGCAGCAGUGGGGAAUCUUCCGCAAUGGGCGAAAGCCUGACGGAGCAACGCCGCGUGAUCGAAUGAAGGCCUUCGGGUUGUAAAGAUCUGUUGACAGGGACGAAUAAGCCAUGCGAAUAGUUUGGUGUAUGACGGUACCUGUUUAGAAAGCUCCGGCUAACUACGUGCCAGCAGCCGCGGUAAUACGUAGGGAGCAAGCGUUGUCCGGAAUUACUGGGCGUAAAGGGCGCGUAGGUGGGUGCUUAAGUCAGCUGUAAAAUCGCGCGGCUCAACCGCGCCCCGCAGUUGAAACUGGACGCCUUGAGUUCACAACAGGCAGGCAGAAUUCGUGGUGUAGCGGUGAAAUGCAUAGAUAUCACGAGGAACCCCGAUUGCGAAGGCAGCCUGCCGGGGUGCGACUGACGCUGAGGCGCGAAGGUGCGGGUAUCAAACAGGAUUAGAUACCCCUGUAGUC